GGCCAGCGUCCAGUAACGAUCGCAUCCGAUGAACGAAACGAUCGUCAAACAAAGUGCUGGCCCGCAAAAUGCUGGAAUUUUUUAAAACAAGGUGGAUGCAUGAAACGAGGGGCGGAUUGUUAUUUAAUUUAUUCAAAGGCUUUUGGCGGACUUUUGUUAACUUGUUUCUUAUUUACCUAUCGUGUUAAAUGUUUUCCGAGUUAUGUUGAUGGAAACCCACUGUCGUUUGACCACCAUGUCAGCGAUUUUUGCCACGACUAUACUGAAGAUCCACAUGAGUAGCCAAGAUAUCCUAGGAUGUAGUGCUGGUGAAUCGUAAAUGAAGAAAAGCCAAGCACUGACAACAAUUACAGAUAAUGAUCCUUCAAUGUAGAACACAGCCUCCCAACCC